AUUUAGAAUGUUAAGUUUUGUGCCUGAGUAGUAUUAGUUAUGUUCUUGAAACUUAAAGAAUUUGGCGGUAUCUCAUUCCGUCCAGAGGAAUCUGUCCCGUUAUCGAUAGUCCACGUUGGACCUUACUUAUUUGAUUUUGGUUUGUAUACCGCCGUUUAUUGUUUAUCUUUUUAGAGGUGUAUAAUUUUCUGGUUUCUUUAUUUUGAUGUAUUUCAGGUCAAGGUGCAGCUUGUUUUUAAGUGGAGUGAUGGAUUACAGUGUAAUUUGUUUGUGGAUUAUUGAUUUUAAUAUUAAUAUGAAAUUGGAUUUGGUUGUAAUAAUUUGUAGAUUGUUAUUAUGAUAAUUGGUUCUGAGAUAUGCACACAUCGCCCGUCGCUCUCGUUUGUUUUGUUAUAAUGAGA
rnacentral:rRNA from 1 species